GAAACCACGAGUUUUAGAAUUAAACUUCUCACUUUGACUUACUACCCAGCGAAUACACUGGGAUAAGGUUCGCAAUUUCUAUGCGAAUUUUACGUGAAUUCCAAGCUUUUGCAUUAAAGUUACAUAAUGAUCCUAAUGGUUUUUGCCACUGUAACUUUUUUAACUAUUACUGUAACGAAAAAAACUUUAAUUUCAUGUUCAUUUUAGUCGUUUUCUCCGACACGGUUCUAACUCAGUUCAAUUCUUUUCAUAUUAUAGUUGAUUCUAUAAAUAUUUUCAUAUAGUUUAUUCUUUACAGUAGGCUAAACCGAGUUUAAACUUAUAUUAACGUUGGAAAAAACCGGCGCUGGUGUGUUUAAAUAAUAAAUAUAUACAUUUAAAAUUAAAUGCCACCUGGUGAGAAAAAAUUUGAAAACUCACACCCUCAUCUCAAAGGAUCAUAUUUCUGCGCCUCAUUUCCCCACUCAUUAUUCAACCGACGGCAACAGGAGAGUAAGUAAAGUUUGUUGAAUUUCGAUUAAAUAAAUUAUUAUUUAUAAAAUCUAUUAAUGUCGUUGUCAAUUUUAAUGUUAUAGAGGAUCAUCGAAAAUGGGUGACAACCAGAUUGCCGGAGGCGGGCAGGUCGAGAACGGUGGACAGGCCGAGAACGGUGGGCAGGCCGACCAGCCCAUUGUCGAGGUCGAGCCACGUGGUGAUGGCGAUCGGCAACCGCCAGAACUGUAGCAAGUCGGCGAGGAGCUCGUUAUGAAAAAAAAAUAUCAUCGGGGAACGAGAGCUGGUUGGCGGGUUCGCGAAGCGAAAAAAAUUGACUUUUUGGCCCGUCUAAAUGAACGGAUGGGCCAAAUUGUCGCCGACCGGUAUCGCAGCAAUUGGCGAGGUAGUCGUGGCGGUCGACGACAUGGACGAGAAUCUUCAUGAAUGCGACUAUUUUUUGAAACGUUUUUUAAAUAAAUAAAUAAAAAUAAACUCAAAAGACUUCAUCGCAUUUUUAUUCACCAGUAAAUUUUCCCAAGCCAUACUUCCCUCAGUUCCUUAUACCAAAAAAAUACUUACUGCUCCUCACAUCAAU